GACGAACGCUGGCGGCGUGCUUAACACAUGCAAGUCGAACGAAGAGCGAUGGAAGCUUGCUUCUAUCAAUCUUAGUGGCGAACGGGUGAGUAACGCGUAAUCAACCUGCCCUUCAGAGGGGGACAACAGUUGGAAACGACUGCUAAUACCGCAUACGAUCUAAUCUCGGCAUCGAGGACAGAUGAAAGGUGGCCUCUACAUGUAAGCUAUCACUGAAGGAGGGGAUUGCGUCUGAUUAGCUAGUUGGAGGGGUAACGGCCCACCAAGGCGAUGAUCAGUAGCCGGUCUGAGAGGAUGAACGGCCACAUUGGGACUGAGACACGGCCCAGACUCCUACGGGAGGCAGCAGUGGGGAAUCUUCCGCAAUGGACGAAAGUCUGACGGAGCAACGCCGCGUGAGUGAUGACGGCCUUCGGGUUGUAAAGCUCUGUUAAUCGGGACGAAAGGCCUUCUUGCGAACAGUUAGAAGGAUUGACGGUACCGGAAUAGAAAGCCACGGCUAACUACGUG
rnacentral:rRNA from 1 species